UCCAGCCACUCCAAUAAAGAGAUUCGAACGCCUCUCUCAUCGGCAGCUUCCAGAAGGCUACCGGCAGGUCACACGUGCUAAUCCAGCAGGAUUUAUUUAAUUCAGCUCAGUACAGUUACUCCUUGUAGAGUUGUGUGUGCAAAGAACUGCACAAGAGAAGGCAAGGCUUCCUUAUUUUAGGGACACGGAAGUGAUUCCGAGACUCAAAACAGGUACACGGACUAAAAAUACAACUUUGGGUUUGAAACCUUAAGGGAACCAACCAUGUAAGAGAAAAAAUUGCGGACCCCACCCUGCGCUUCCCUUAAAAUUGCUUUCCCUUAAAGCAAAACUCGGCCUAGGCUCACAAGUGGAAGGUAAAGGUGUAAAGGUCUGGCCUGACCCGCUGAUGAGAUGCAGAUGCUGGGAUGCUGGCGCUCUCUCUCUCUCUCUCUCUCUCUCUGAAAAGUUGCUUCACUUCCUGCCGAAUCAAAACAAGUUUGGCAGUUUAUGUGGAAAAACAAGUCCAGCAGAUGCCUCUCCGAAAGUGUUAGGCUUCUGGCCUCCUUUGGGGUAGCUAAGUGCAUGCCUCUGGAUAAAAAGCACUGUUGAGUAACAUUUCCCCCUCUGCCUCAAGUCUCCAGACCCUGGACGUUUAGGUUGUCUUCCGGAUGUGAGGCAUUUAUCCUCCUGACCUAAGCGCGAUGUAAAAAAUGUUUCCCAAAUUAGGUAGUGCCAACGUAACCAUGAUAGCCUUUGUGAACUGGUCGCACCUUAGUGAUGUGAGCUUUCAUUAGCAUUUAAAAAAGAAGACAGGAAUCUGGAAUGUAGCACUCACAUCCGAUGAAGGAUUUCCUUUUUCUCUCUCUAGAGAUGCACUGUCCAAUACAAUAACUACAUCCCACAGGUUUAAGCCAUAACCAUCAGCCAACUGUUCUUGACCUACGCAACUGGCAAGUGUGACUUGAGCAGCUUCCCUGCCUCUGUGUCUUCAUCUAUGAAGUGAUGGUGUGCUGCUUGAGAUGCUCAUUAAACGUUUGAGGAAACAAUCCCUUCACCACAGGUACUGGCAAAUGAUAACACAGAACCCCCUGGGCAGGAUUUGGCCUUCUUCCAAAACUCAAAAGAGAAAUGCUCUGCAUCCUCAGAUACAAUGAAGAUUCCUUUAAAAUAAAAUAUAAAAUAAAAGGGGAUGUUUGUCUGGACUGCAAGAAACCAGCAGAAAAGGUGGAACACAGCUCAGCUUGAGAAGAAGUAAAUAGCCCUGGGUCACCACGUCCUUCUUGGGUUUCUCUUCUGCAGCAAAGCUGACCUUCAUGACAUGGACUGUCAGCACCCACGCUCUGAAUCGGCUUAUACCAAGUCACACUAAGGAGACUCGACACGUGGUAGCACAGAUCCUAAAGCUAUUAAGCUGAGCAGCAAAUACAUGAAGGGAGGAAAAAUAAAAUUCAAGAUCACUGCCUGCAUAAACGAGUCUUGCCUCUGGUUGACAUAGCUCACCUUGGUUCUAGGCUGAGUCCGACUGGUAGUGACAGACAAGAAGAGGGCGAGUGGUCAGUCAUGACUUCAGGGCUAUGGCUGAAGGACUAAAGGGGCCCCUGGUCUUAUGAGAAAAGUUCACACUGGACCCUGCAGUCCCCAAGCAGCAUAUCCCACACCCCAGUAAUGUUGGGCUUCCCAAAAGGCGUAGAAAGGUCAGGACUGUAGUGCUACAGCACCCACUAGCCCACUAGCCGGUUACAGCCCGAUCCCUCCCACCUCUGCAACCAAUGCCCCACACAUGCCCUCACUCCCCUGUUUACAUAGAGUUCAUGGGCUCCCGCUGGCCUGGGUCUCCUCAUAGCCUUCUGCCCCUUCUUCCCAUAUCCCAGAGGCUUUUCUUCCUCCAGCAUCCAGCCCCUACCCCAUCCCUACAUUUCAGUUCCCAGCACUUAUGUCUGCCUCCCUCAGAUGGUAUCCACUUCCUAGGCCCCACCAAGCUCCUGUAUGCACAGGGCACCCAGCUGACCUCCAGCUCUGUCCCUUCCCCACUCUUGCUCCAGUCUGAUGUCUCCAAAUGCCUCCAGACCACUGGUUCUCAAAACACAA